rnacentral:rRNA from 1 species
UACGGGGGGGGCAAGCGUUGUUCGGAAUUACUGGGCGUAAAGGGCUCGUGGGCGGCCAACUAAGUCAGACGUGAAAUCCCUCGGCUCAACCGGGGAACUGCGUCCGAUACUGGAUGGCUUGAAUCCGGGAGAGGGAUGCGGAAUUCCAGGUGUAGCGGUGAAAUGCGUAGAUAUCUGGAGGAACACCGGUGGCGAAGGCGGCAUCCUGGACCGGCAUUGACGCUGAGGAGCGAAAGCCAGGGGAGCAAACGGG